UUUGGCUUACACUUCCACCU
rnacentral:misc_RNA from 1 species